UCCGUCCACCCUGCUGUCUCCAUGGCGACCGUGGCUUUAGAUUGUUACUCUAGCAACAGCAGCAUGGUAACAGUCUACAGCCAUGGUCGUUAGGGGCAGGUG
rnacentral:pre_miRNA from 1 species